rnacentral:rRNA from 1 species
GACGAACGCUGGCGGCGUGCCUAAUACAUGCAAGUCGAACGCAGUGGUGACUGGUGAGUAACACGUUGGUAGCCUCCCCUCAGAGGGGAUAACCCUUGGACACAGGUGCUAAACCGAUACUGAUGGAUGGACCGGCGGUGCAUUAGCUAGUUGGUGAGGUAACGGCUCACCAAGGCGACGAUGCAUAGCCGGCUGGAGAGGACGAUCGGCCACACUGGGACUGAGACACGGCCCAGACUCCUACGGGAGGCAGCAGUAGGGAAUCUUGGGCAAUGGACGAAAGUCUGACCGAGCAACGCCGCGUGAGUGAAGAAGGUUUUCGGAUCGUAAAACUCUGUUGUUAGAGAAGCGGUAUCUAACCAAAAAGCAACGGCUAACUACGUGCCAGCAGCCGCGGUAAUUC